GGCUGCGGGGCCGACGGCACGGGUGCCGGGGCCAGUUCGGGCUGGGCGGCCACCGGGGCGGGCGGCAGCACCGCGGGCUCGAUGCCCGCCGCCGCCA
rnacentral:tRNA from 1 species